rnacentral:rRNA from 1 species
UACAGAGGGCUCAAGCGUUGUUCGGAAUCAUUGGGCGUAAAGGGCGCGUAGGCGGCGCGGUAAGUCGGGUGUGAAAUUUCGGAGCUUAACUCCGAAACUGCAUUCGAUACUGCCGUGCUUGAGGACUGGAGAGGAGACUGGAAUUUACGGUGUAGCAGUGAAAUGCGUAGAGAUCGUAAGGAAGACCAGUGGCGAAGGCGGGUCCCUGGACAGUUACUGACGCUGAGGCACGAAGGCCAGGGGAGCAAACGGG